rnacentral:rRNA from 1 species
AGUGAACGCUGGCGGUAGGCCUAACACAUGCAAGUCGAACGGCAGCACAGAGGAGCUUGCUCCUUGGGUGGCGAGUGGCGGACGGGGGAGGAAUACAUCGGAAUCUACUCUGUCGUGGGGGAUAACGUAGGGAAACUUACGCUAAUACCGCAUCCGACCUACGGGGGAAAGCAGGGGACCUUCGGGCCUUGCGCGAUUGAAUGAGCCGAUGUCGGAUUAGCUAGUUGGCGGGGUAAAGGCCCACCAAGGCGACGAUCCGUAGCUGGUCUGAGAGGAUGAUCAGCCACACUGGAACUGAGACACGGUCCAGACUCCUACGGGAGGCAGCAGUGGGGAAUAUUGGACAAUGGGCGCAAGCCUGAUCCAGCCAUACCGCGUGGGUGAAGAAGGCCUUCGGGUUGUAAAGCCCUUUUGUUGGGAAAGAAAUCCAGCUCCCUAAUCCCCGGUUGGGAUGACGGUACCCAAAGAAUAAGCACCGGCUAACUUCGUGCCAGCCGCCGCAGUAA